UCUUUGGAGAGUUUGAUCCUGGCUCAGGACGAACGCUGGCGGCGUGCCUAAUACAUGCAAGUCGAGCGGACCGGAUUGGGGCUUGCCUUGAUUCGGUCAGCG
rnacentral:rRNA from 1 species